rnacentral:rRNA from 1 species
UACGUAGGGUGCGAGCGUUAAUCGGAAUUACUGGGCGUAAAGCGUGCGCAGGCGGGCUUUUAAGCCAGACGUGAAAUCCCCGGGCUUAACCUGGGAAUGGCGUUUGGGACUGGGAGUCUGGAGUGCGGCAGAGGAGACUGGAAUUCCUGGUGUAGCAGUGAAAUGCGUAGAUAUCAGGAGGAACACCGAUGGCGAAGGCAGGUCUCUGGGCUGACACUGACGCUCAUGCACGAAAACGUGGGGAGCAAACAGG